AAGAGAAAGGGGUAGGCAUUUGUCAUCAACAUUUUAAGACAGUAUUGCGUAAGCAAAUUUUCAAAGAAUGAGAUUUACCACAAAGUACUUUUCAGCCUUGCUAAGUAAGGAGAUUGUGUUACUACUGUUUGUUUUAACAACUAAGUUUGAAGCACGUUUUUUUCUAGUGAUCAUACUGGGAUUACUGGGAAAAAAAUGCAUUUCUUUUGUUAAGAGAAUAAUUCUACAAGAAAUCGGAACUCUUUCCAUGAAGCUGUUUUUGUCCUGAUACUUUUUGUUGUUAGUGCUCUUUAGCAUGUCAUUGAUAGUAUUCUAGGGUGAUGAUAUAACUCUACUAAGCAAAAACAAGAAAAGAUUCUCCCAAAUGUAUGCUUCUGAUCUUAUAGGAGCUUUUUUUUUAUUAAAAGAAAACUCUGAAAUAAAUAAAAUAAUCUUUAAGAUACUAUAUUAAGAUACCUUCCUCACAUCAACAGAAAUACAAUAUGUUCUCUAUCCCUACAACUGUAAUGCUAAACCUUUCUACUUGUUCUGUUGUCCCUGCCAAGGAAUGAAUCUAUCGCGGAGCAUCUCCACUGGAAAGUCCCUGUAAACUGAUUAAUUUUUUUCAGGAAGCAGCUCAGGAACAUGAUGCAAGAAAGAAGCACAAGUUGUUCUGAGAGAAGUAGGACCCCUUGUUUGUGUUCCUACCAAAGUGUGCAUGUAGCAAAAAAGUCUGAUCAACAUCCAGAGAAAGAAGAGAGAACAGAGGUUUUGGAAGAAAACUAAGGACUUAAUUCUGAGAACUUGGACAGUGGGGAUCAAAACCACUCAGAAGUUUAAUGAUCAACAGAAGCUAGCUCUGAGAAAACACUUGAAGAGGAUGUUAAGCAAGCCAAUGGAAAUUUGUCUUUCAUAUAUGGCAUAAACUGCAGGACUUAGACUUUCAGACUGGGAAGGAGAAUUACAGCCACAAAGCAAAAACAGUAGUAAGUAAAUAAGCAAUAAAAAUUAGUAUAUGUUAGCUUUUAAAGUGUGUUUUUCCUUAUGACCUUGGAAACAGUUGUUAAACACAAGUCAUGUAAAACCAAACAAAGCAAAGAAACGGUUUGUCUUAACAAACAGAACAGCCAAGCUUUUAAAUCUUAAAACCAAAAUAAUUUUGUGUUCAUUUGAAACCAGUUAUAAAAGGAAUCAAACCACUUGCUAGCCCUACCCUUUCUUAAGCACUGCCUUGGGCAUUGGUGUCUCUGUGAACAUGUUUAAUAUUUUACUUGUGUUGAUGACCUCUUGCACUGCAAGCAGUUUCCGUCAGGUUAAUUUGGACCCAAUACAAUGUCCAUUUCAGCCUAUAGAGAUAAACUUACUGGCAUCAGUAGGCAAUGUGUCAGGCAGUAUGAAAAAUGCUAACUUAAAGGUACAUGGAGUCUUUUAAUAAGACCCCCUCGCCCUUUGGACAUCUGUGCAUGCAUUAAGUCAGAUCCUCAAGAUCCAUAUGCAUUAUGUCAGUAGGGUGAACUGGACUUUUUAUCACAAAAGCAAAGGUUUUCAGGAGAACUUAAACUACUCAGAACAUACAUACCUGUGCACAAUCAGUUAACUAUAGCUGGUGCUAUCUUAACGGGCUUUUCAUUGUUAAAACAUAGGAAUAUCCUGGAAUAAAAUGGCUAGAAUUUGGUAAUCUGCACAGACACCAAAAAACCCCUCUGACAAUCUGAGUGUCGGGUAGCAUAUGUAUUAUUUUUCACAGGCAGUCUGACAGUAGAACAAAAGAACAACUUCUCCAAACAAAAAAGAGCAAAUGCAAGUACUACCCCACCAAAUUUGAGGAGGGUUAUUGGGUGACUUCAUUCUCCAUGUACAGUUUUGCCCUCAGCUGUGCUUUUUUGCUGGGACCCCAGUCACUGAAACUUUGAGUAUUUCUACAGGAAAUGGUGCAGAAUUCUGCCUCACAAAAGGAUAGCAUUAACAGCACCAACUGGUGUACAAUCCAUAGGAUUCUAUUUUUAUACCAAUAAAUUGAAAUGCAGUUAUAGAAUAGAUAAGUAGUGAGCAAAGAAAGUGCUUGCUUCAGCUUGGUGAAAUAUGAGUGUUAAUUUUAUGACUUCUCAAGUACAGGUAGGUCACAGCUGGAAGGACUUGGAACACAGAGUGGUUGUGUGAAAAUCUUUGUUAAUAAACUAGGUACAAUCUAGCCUUAGAUGUUCCUACAUUUGUGUCCCUCUGGAGUUGAAUGGAGGAAUUUACAUCAGGCUCAAGAUUUUAAAUGCAAGACUGAUAGGUUAGGAAAAUUACUGAUUUUUUUCUAUUGAAUUGUGUUUACAAAAGCAAAUUAAAUUUGUGAUUGUUUGAUAUUCCUUCUAUUGCUACGAUGAAAACCAGUUCAAAAUAUUUCUAAACAGGAAAGGGCCAUAAAAAGAAGAAAAAUUAAGACUGAUCAGUAUGAUUCAUUUACUUAAGAAGAAAACACAGCAGAAAUUGUUUAUGCAGA